rnacentral:rRNA from 1 species
UACCGCUGGCGGCGUGCCUAUACAUGCAAGUCGAGCGGACAGAAGGGAGCUUGCUCCCGGAUGUUAGCGGCGGACGGGUGAGUAACACGUGGGUAACCUGCCUGUAAGACUGGGAUAACUCCGGGAAACCGGAGCUAAUACCGGAUAGUUCCUUGAACCGCAUGGUUCAAGGAUGAAAGACGGUUUCGGCUGUCACUUACAGAUGGACCCGCGGCGCAUUAGCUAGUUGGUGGGGUAAUGGCUCACCAAGGCGACGAUGCGUAGCCGACCUGAGAGGGUGAUCGGCCACACUGGGACUGAGACACGGCCCAGACUCCUACGGGAGGCAGCAGUAGGGAAUCUUCCGCAAUGGACGAAAGUCUGACGGAGCAACGCCGCGUGAGUGAUGAAGGUUUUCGGAUCGUAAAGCUCUGUUGUUAGGGAAGAACAAGUGCAAAAGUAACUGCUCGCACCUUGACGGUACCUAACCAGAAAGCCACGGCUAACUACGUGCCACCAGCCGCGGUAAUACGUAGGUGGCAAGCGUUGUCCGAAAUUAUUGGGCGUAAAGGGUUCGGAGGCGGUUUCUUAAGUCUGAUGUGAAAGCCCCCGGCUCAACCGGGCACGCUCAGUGGAGACUGUGAAGCUUGAGUGC